rnacentral:rRNA from 1 species
AAAAUAUAGGGUAACGUGCCCUAGAGAAGAGGAUAACAUUUGGAAACGAAUGCUAAUACUCUAUAUGCCUUUAAGUCAUAAGACUGCAAGGGAAAUAUUUAUAGCUCUAGGAUCGGCCUGUACGGUAUCAGCUUGUUGGUGAGGUAAUGGCUCACCAAGGCAAUGACACCUAACUGGUUUGAGAGGAUGAUCAGUCACACUGGAACUGAGACACGGUCCAGACUCCUACGGGAGGCAGCAGUGGGGAAUAUUGCACAAUGGACGAAAGUCUGAUGCAGCAACGCCGCGUGGAGGAUGACACAUUUCGGUGCGUAAACUCCUUUUAUAUAGGAAGAUAAUGACGGUACUAUAUGAAUAAGCGCCGGCUAACUCCGUGCCAGCAGCCGCGGUAAUACGGAGGUCGCAAGCGUUACUCGGAAUCACUGGGCGUAAAGAGCGUGUAGGCG